rfam:Picea glauca, whole genome shotgun sequence.
UACCUAGUUGAUCCUGCCAGUAGUCAUAUGCUUGUCUCAAAGAUUAAGCCAUGCAUGUCUAAGUAUGAACUAAUUCAGACUCUGAAAUUGUGGAUGGCUCAUUAAAUCGGUUAUAGUUUCUUUGAUGGUACCGUGCUACUCAGAUAACCAUAGUAAUUCUAGAGCUAAUACAUGCACCAAGUCCCAACUCUUUGGAAGGGAUGCAUUUAUUAGAUAAAAGGCCAGCGUGAGCUUGCCCGCUUCUCCGGUGAAUCAUGAUAACUCGACGGAUCGCGCAGCCCUUGUGCUGGCAAUGCUUCAUUCAAAUUUCUACCCUAUCAACUUUCGAUGGUAGGAUAGAGGCCUACCAUGGUGGUGAUGGGUGACGGAGAAUUAGGGUUCGAUUUCGGAGAGGGAGCCUGAGAAACAGCUACCACAUCCAAGGAAGGCAGCAGGCACGCAAAUUAUCCAAUCCUAACAUGGGGAGGUAGUGACAAUAAAUAACAAUACUGGGCUCAUCGAGCCUGGUAAUUGGAAUGAGUACAAUCUAAAUCCCUUAACGAGGAUCCAUUGGAGGGAAAGUAUGGUGCCAACAGCCGUGGUAAUUCCAGAUCCAAUAGCGUAUAUUUAAGUUGUUGCAGUUAAAAAGCUCGUAGUUGGAUCUUGGGUCGUAAAGGUCGGUCUGCCUACUCGGUGUGCACCUUCCCUUCCAUCCCUUUUGCCGGUGGCGUACUCCUGGCCUUAAUUGGCUGGGUCGCGGUUCUGGAAUUGUUACUUUGAAAAAAUUAGAGUUCUCAAAGAAAGCUUAUGCUUUGAAUACAUUAGCAUGGAAUAACGCGAUAGGAGUCUGGUCCUAUUGUGUUGGCCUUCGGGACCAGAGUAAUGAUUAAUAGGGACUUUCGGGGGCAUUUGUAUUUCAUUGUCAGAGGUGAAAUUCUUGGAUUUAUGAAAGACAAACCACUACGAAAGCAUUUGCCAAGGAUGUUUUCAUUAAUCAAGAAUGAAAUUUGGGGGCUCAAAGACGAUCAGAUACCAUCCUAGUCUCAACCAUAAACGAUGUCGACCAGGGAUCGACGGAUGUUGAUCUAAGGACUCCGCCAGCACCUUCUGAGAAAUCAGAGUGUUUGGGUUCCGGGGGGAGUAUGGUCGCAAGGCUGAAACUUAAAGGAAUUGAUGGAAGGGCACCACCAGGAGUGGAGCCUGCAGCUUAAUUUGACUCAACACGGGAAAACUUACUAGGUCCAGACAUAGUAAGGAUUGACAAAUUGAGAGCUCUUUCUUGAUUCUAUGGGUGGUGGUGCAUGGCCGUUCUUAGUUGGUGGAGCGAUUUGUCUGGUUAAUUGUGAUAACGAAGGAGACCUCAGCCUGCUAACAAGCUACAUGGAGGUUCCCCUUUGCGGCCAGCUUCUUAGAGGGACUAUGGCCGUUUAGGCCAUGGAAGUUGUUGAGUCCAUUUUUGUGCUUCCAUAAACCAUACUUUUGACUCUUUAUUUGCCCAUUUUUCCUUCAUUUUAUUCACAUUUCCCAUAAAACAGCUUAUCCAAGGUAUAUUUUUCAUCCUUUAACUUCAGAAUUGAAUUUUAUAAAUUUUUGCAUUAAAAUUGGAAAUUUAGCAGAAAUUACAGGAUUUGACCAAAUCCCGUAAAAGCUCCGUCGUUUGUAUACUUGCAGGACACCUGGGCAAAAUCCAA